GGCUUCCGGGGGGCGGCGCGAACGGCAAUGGCGGUCUUCUCCCGACGGGAGAGGAAGCUCCGCUGAAAUCGGGUCGUCCGCUACGGCGAAGCGGAGACCCAACGAGAAAAACCCCAGGCAGCAAGAGCCUGGGGUCCUGAGGCUCGGCGGGCGCCAAGAGCAGCCCUCCAACUGCAGAAGGAGCCUCGUAAGGGGCUCCGGAGCGUGGAGGGGGGUUGCGGCGCUGUGAGCCGUUUCACAGUCAGCGGAGUGAAGCCGCGCUGCUGCUGCCGGUGAGCGCUGAUCCCUUUUCCUGUUAAAAUUCGGACCUGGAAGAAAACAACUUACUCGUGAGUAAAGACUGAAUCACUUGGAAUUACAAAUUUUAAAUGAGAAGGUUUAAUUUGGCUUGAAUUUGGCUGAAAGCGGAGAGACGUGGAAACAGGAAGUCCGUCUUCCGCUGCCAUUGAACUUGGAAAAAAAGCAACUAAGGCGGAGGAGUGGAGGCUGAAAGAAAGAGACUUUAAACUCUACACAGCCAAGCAUCUAUGGAACUUACAAUUUAAAGUAAAACUAGUAAGUUAAAGAUUUGGAUCUUUUAUUUGUACUUGACUUUCCCCUUUUAUUGGAUUACAAAUUGGAAGGUGAAACCCAGAGUCAGGAUUGUUUGAGCACUGUAAGAGCGAGCUGUCAGUGUUGAUUUGGAUACUGUAUAUUAGAAGUUGCAACAAUCUGAGGGUAUUGAGACCUUUUAAAUUUGAAACAUUCUUUUGGAGACAAAUAAGCACUGUCUGCAACAAAGUGAUUACUUUUAAACUCUGCUUAAUACUUAUAUUGGAAGGUUCUGGGACAUUAAAUCAGACUCUGAAAGACAUCUUAAGCUCCCUCUAGAGGAUUGGAUUAAAACAGUGACUUUACAAAUACAUUUACUUUCGAUUCCCUUGUUGUUUGCUUGCUCUGGGCCUUUCUAUUCCUGUGGGAAAAACUCAGUGUGACCUUGACUGAUAGAUAACAUUGGAAUGAGUGGUACAAGAAGAAGAGGAAGAGUUAGACAAACAACUCUAACAACUCUAACCUCAGCCUCGCAGACACGUAGAUCAUCUGUGCCUACUUUGCCCUCAGAAGUACAACUUGAAGAAGCUGACUUGCCACAGGCAAAAGAGGGAGAGGGUGAAGCAGAGCAGUUACAAUUGGAAGAUAUGGCCUCAGGAUCAUCUGUUUCUGUGCUAGAAAAAUCUUUGAAAAAUUGGAAGCUUUGGACAAGAAAGUAGAUGCGCAAUCAGCAAAGAUUGAUAAAAAUACAGACUGUCUAAACAAAUUAACUACACAGGUGGGACAGAAUACACAAGCAAUUGGACAGUUGACGGAGGCCUCAGUAGAAAACCGAAAAUUGGCUGAGGAUACCAGACAAAAAUUGGAAAAUUUAGAGCAAGAGGUAAGACCACUCACUAAACAAGUUGGGGAACAUCAGACUUAUCUUUCUAUGAUAGAACUGCGAAAUCGUGAGAAUAAUUUGAGGAUUAGAUCAUUACAAGAGGCAGAAGAAGGAAAUCUAACUGAGUUUUUGACCAAAGAACUUUCCAAGUUCUGGAAUUUGGAAGAAAAGGACUUUAAAAUUGUGUCAGCUUUCAGACUUGGAAGAUUUAUAAAGAAGGAGAGGCCCAGGGAUUGUUUGAUUACAUUGAGAUCGAAGGAGGAAAGGGAUAAGAUUUUGGGUCUACAUUACGAAAAGUCACUGGAGGUUUUGGAUAGAAGAAUUGAGAUAUAUAAAGAUAUCCCAAGACAACUGUUGGACCUUAGAGCCGCCUACUCUGAACUUGCUAAACUACUAAGGAGCAACGCAAUUCCAUUCAGGUGGGAAUUUCCCCAAGGAUUAUCUUUUACCUUUAGAGCGAGAAAGGUCAAAAUUAGAACAUUGGAAGAGAGAGAUAAAUUUCUGGCUACAUACGGAGAGGACCUACAUAAAGGAAUUGAACUACCUUCCGGGCCUGGGGCAAAGCCAGCGUCAAUACCUCCACCUGGGGAGCUUGAAGACCCAGAGAAGACACCACCCCGGGAGAAAUAACCAGACAGAUCCAGGAUGUCUCUGCAACUGUUGAGCUGGAACAUUAAUGGUUGCAAUAUUCCGGAGAAAAGGAAGAAAAUAUUUCAUAUAUUAAAAAAGAACAAUUGGACAUUAUUUGUUUACAAGAAACACAUGUGACGAGGCUCCACAGAAAAGUGUUAAUAAAUAAAAGAUUGGGCCAGGAAUUUAUUUCGUCGGACAAAGUGAAGAAGAGAGGAGUGGUGAUAUAUGCAAAAGAGAGCCUGUCACCUAAAUUUCUAUUUAAAGAUGAACAUGGAAGGAUUUUGGCUAUUGAGAUACAAUAUCAAGGAGAGAAACUGCUGAUAUUAGGAAUCUAUGCGCCCAAUGAAGGGAAAUCGGAAUUUUACAAGAAGUUGCAGGGGACAAUGCUGGAUCAUCUGGAUUACAACAACAUCAUAAUGAUGGGAGACAUGAACGGGGUCGUGUCAACUAACAUGGACAAGUCGCAAAGUCAAAAUGUCACAAAAGAUGGCAGACUACCUAAAACCUUUUUGAAAUGACUGACAAUAUGGACUUGAUUGACAUUUGGAGAACAAAGAACCCACUAGGUAGAGAAGGAACAUUCUUUUCUGAAGCCCAACUGACCUGGACAAGAAUCGACCAAAUAUGGAUCUCUAGAGGCCUGGCACCUAGGGUUAGAAAAGUGGAAAUCUGCCCAAAGACCUGCUCUGACCACAACGCAGUAAAGAUGGAUAUGACACUACUACCAACUGGAUCCUUUAGAUGGAAGAUGAAUGACAAUUUGUUUAGAGAUCAGGAAAUUACCAAGAAGGCCCAAAAAGUUUUGAAAGACUAUUUCGAGAUAAACAUGAACAAUUCGGUGGAAAAAGAAUCGUCUGGGACGCAAGCAAAGCUGUCAUGAGGGGAUUCCUGAUACAACAGAAUGUAGUAAAGAAAAAAACACAAAAUGAGAAAAAAGACAAGAUUUUGGAUAAAAUAAAAGAAUUAGAGAAGAAAUUAAGAGUGAAUCCAAAGUCACAGCCAACUCUGAGAGAAAUUAAACUGUAUCAAACACAAUAUUCUAAAUUGAUAAAUCAGGAAAUUGAAUGGAAGAUUAAAUUAAUGAAACAAAAACGUUUGAGUCGGCGAAUAAAUGUGGAAAACUGCUAUCUUGGCAGUUGAAGAGAAGACAAAGAUUAAAUACGGUUACAAAUUUAGAGGUCGAUGGAAGAAACAUUCAGAAUCCAGUGGACAUUAGAAAGUGUUUCCAGAGAUAUUUUAAAAACUAUAUACCCAAGGGCCGCAAGACGAAGUCGAGAUUAAACAAUUUUUGCCAAAAAUGGAUUAUCUAAACUGUCACAAGAAAAUAGGACAACCCUGAACUCUAAAAUAACACGACAGGAGAUUGAACAAGCUAUUCAGAACAUGCAACUUGGCAAAUCUCCAGGGCCAGACGGGCUGACCUCCAAGUAUUAUAAGACACUAAAAGACUAUUUGAUACAACCCUUGAUGGAGGUUAGCAAUGAAAUUAUGGAGGGGAAGAGGGCACCGGAUUCGUGGAAGGAAGCGUUUAUCACAUUGAUACCAAAGUCAGAAGCUGAAAAGACACAACUGAAGAACUACCGUCCCAUCUCCCUUUUAAAUGUGGAUUACAAAAUAUUUGCAGAUAUUUUGGCAAGUAGAUUUAAAAAGUUUUAAAUGAAGUAAUUCAUAAGGACCAGGCCGGUUUUCUCCCAGGUAGACAUCUGUUUGCUAACACAAGGAACAUUAUUGAUAUCUUGGAACUUCUCCAAACUGACAUAAAUACAAAAGCAGUUUUAAUUUUUAUAGAUGCGGAGAAGGCCUUUGAUAAUAUUUCUUGGAAAUUUAUGAUGGGAAACUUAAAAGAGAUGGGAGUGGGACGGGGUUUUGAGAAUGGGAUUGAGGCGAUAUAUUCAGAACAGAAAGCUAAACUGAUAGUUAAUAAUGUGGUUACAGAAGAGUUCAAAAUUGAAAAAGGGACACGACAAGGUUGCCCUAUCUCCCCUUUGUUAUUUAUUUCGGUUCUGGAAGUGCUAUUGAACAUGAUUAGAGGGGACCAGUUGGUGGAAGGAAUUCAGGUUGGUCAGAAACAAUAUAAACUAAAAGCUUUUGCAGAUGACCUGGUUUUGACCUUGCAGAAGCCAGAGCCUAGUACGAAAAGAGUAUUACAAUUGAUUAAUGACUUUGGUCGGGUGGCGGGAUUUAAAUUAAAUAAACAGAAAACCAAGGUUUUGGGAAAAAAUUUGACUGAGACAGAGUCAGAACGGUUUCAGAAUGAGACGGAACUUAAUGUGGUUAGAAAAGUAAAAUACCUAGGGGUAAACAUAACAGCAAAAAAUCUAAGUCUAUUUAAGGAUAACUAUGAAAAAUGUUGGACAGAAAUUAAGAGAGACUUAGACAGUUGGUCAAAAUUGAAACUUUCUUUGUUAGGCCGAAUUGCUGCGAUUAAGAUGAAUGUAUUGCCAAGAAUGUUGUUUUUAUUUCAAACACUUCAGGUUUUGGACAAAAUGGAGUGCUUUCAGAAGUGGCAGAGAGACAUUUCGAAGUUUGUCUGGCAGGGCAAAAAGCCCAGAAUUAAGUUUAAGAUACUAACUGAUGCAAAACAAAGAGGGGCUUUGCCCUGCCGGACUUAAAGUUGUAUUACGAAGCCGCAGCGUUCUGCUGGCUAAAAGAUUGGCUACUUCUUGAAGACACUGAUGUGUUAGAUUUGGAAGGGUUUAACAAUGUUUUUGGAUGGCAUGCAUAUUUAUGGUAUGACAAAGUUAAAGCAAAUAAGGCCUUUAAGAACCAUAUUGUUAGAAAAUCACUGUUUAAUGUCUGGACAAAAUAUAAAGACUUGCUGGAAAAUAAAACACCAAGGUGGCUUUCACCUUUGGAAGCUAAGGCCCGAAAAAGACCCAAUAUGGAGGCCAAAUGGCCAAAAUAUUGGGAAAUACUAGAAAAAGAUGGAGACAAUUGGAAAUUGCAGAGUUUGGAGAAAAUGAAAGACAAAGUGCGAGAUUGGUUACAUUAUGCUCAGAUUAAAGAAGUUUUUAAAAAUGAUAAGAAACUAGGGUUCCAGGUGGAGAAAUCGAAAUUAGAAACAGAAUUGUUAGAACCAAAGACUAAGAUACUUUCAAGGAUGUAUAACUUGCUGUUGGAAUGGAAUACACAAGAUGAAAUGGUUAAAUCGGCUAUGAUAAGGUGGGCACAGGAUAUUGGGCAUAAUAUUAUGUUUGAGGACUGGGAAAGGCUGUGGAGUAAUGGAUUGAAAUUUACUGCAUGUAAUGCUUUGAAAGAAAAUGUAAUGAAAAUGAUUUAUAGAUGGUAUAUGACCCCAGUCAAACUCGCAAAAAUUUACCACCUGUCUGAUAACAAGUGCUGGAAAUGUAAAGAGUGUGAAGGAACGUUCUUUCACCUCUGGUGGACCUGCCCUAAAGUGAAGGCGUUCUGGGAAAUGAUUUAUAAUGAAUUGAAAAAGGUAUUUAAAUAUACUUUCACUAAGAAACCAGAGGCUUUCCUUUUGGGUAUUGUCAGCCAAGGGGUGGCAAAGAAGGACCAGACAUUUUUUAUGUAUGCAACAACAGCAGCAAGGAUACUACUAGCAAAACAUUGGAAAACUCAAGAUCUACCCACACUGGAAGAAUGGCAGAUGCAACUGAUAGACUAUAUGCAACUGGCUGAAAUGACUGGCAGAAUCCGUGACCUGGGAGAAGAGAGAAUCGAGGAGGAUUGGAAGAAAUUUAAGAACUAUCUACAAAAGCAUUGUGAUUUGACUGAAUGCUGAAUAAGAUGCUAGACUAAAUAACUGAGCACCACUUAACUUAGAAGUUUUUAAGAAAAUAAGAAAAACUGUGAAAGUUUAACUCUUUAUGAGAACUUUAAGAUUAUGAAAUAUCGAAGAGAUAUAAGAACUUAAAUAAGAUGAUAAAUUGCUGACAAAAUGUUAUAAUGAUGAAGGUGGGAGCGGGAGAUGUGAGGAAGUCCAAAGAAAAUGUGAAAUUAUGUUAAGACGAAUGUUAUAUUGUUUAUUACAUUUAUUCCUAUUGUAAAAUCCAAUAAAUUGCUUU
rnacentral:lncRNA from 1 species